CCAGACUCCUACGGGAGGCAGCAGUGGGGAAUAUUGCACAAUGGGCACAAGCCUGAUGCAGCCAUGCCGCGUGUAUGAAGAAGGCCUUCGGGUUGUAAAGUACUUUCAGCGGGGAGGAAGGUGUUGAGGUUAAUAACCUCAGCAAUUGACGUUACCCGCAGAAGAAGCACCGGCUAACUCCGUGCCAGCAGCCGCGGUAAUACGGAGGGUGCAAGCGUUAAUCGGAAUUACUGGGCGUAAAGCGCACGCAGGGCGGUUGUCAAGUCGGAUGUGAAAUCCCCGGGCGCAACCUGGGAAAUGCGUUCGAAACUGGCAGGCUGGAGUGUGGUAGAGGGGGGUAGAAGUCCAGGUGUAGCGG
rnacentral:rRNA from 1 species